rnacentral:rRNA from 1 species
GAUGAACGCUGGCGGCGUGCCUAGUACAUGCAAGUCGAGCGAACGGACGAGAAGCUUGCUUCUCUGAUGUUAGCGGCGGACGGGUGAGUAACACGUGGAUAACCUACCUAUAAGACUAGGAUAACUUCGGGAAACCGGAGCUAAUACCGGAUGAUAUUUUGAACCGCAUGGUUCAAAAGUGAAAGACGGUCUUGCUGUCACUUAUAGAUGGAUCCGCGCUGCAUUAGCUAGUUGGUAAGGUAACGGCUUACCAAGGCAACGAUGCAUAGCCGACCUGAGAGGGUGAUCGGCCACACUGGAACUGAGACACGGUCCAGACUCCUACGGGAGGCAGCAGCAGGGAAUCCUCCGCAAUGGGCGAAAGCCUGACGGAGCAACGCCGCGUGAGUGAUGAAGGUCUUCGGAUCGUAAAACUCUGUUAUUAGGGAAGAACAUAUGUGUAAGUAACUGUGCACAUCUUGACGGUACCUAAGCAGAAAGCCACGGCUAACUACGU